UACGGGGGGGGCAAGCGUUAUUCGGAAUCACUGGGCUUACAGGGCGCGUAGGCGGCUCAACAAGUCAGGUGUGAAAUCCCCAGGCUCAACCUGGGAACUGCGUCCGAUACUGGAUGGCUUGAAUUCGGGAGAGGGAUGCAGAAUUCCAGGUGUAGCGGUGAAAUGCGUAGAUAUCGAGAGGAACACCUGCGGCGAAGGCGGGUUGCUGGGCUGACACUGACGCUGAGGCGCGAAAGCUAGGGGAGCGAACGGG
rnacentral:rRNA from 1 species